rnacentral:miRNA from 1 species
ACUGUCACUUCUCUGCCCAUAG